UGAUGUUAGCGGCGGACGGGUGAGUAACACGUGGGUAACCUGCCUGUAAGACUGGGAUAACUCCGGGAAACCGGGGCUAAUACCGGAUGCUUGUUUGAACCGCAUGGUUCAAACAUAAAAGGUGGCUUCGGCUACCACUUACAGAUGGACCCGCGGCGCAUUAGCUAGUUGGUGAGGUAAUGGCUCACCAAGGCGACGAUGCGUAGCCGACCUGAGAGGGUGAUCGGCCACACUGGGACUGAGACACGGCCCAGACUCCUACGGGAGGCAGCAGUAGGGAAUCUUCCGCAAUGGACGAAAGUCUGACGGAGCAACGCCGCGUGAGUGAUGAAGGUUUUCGGAUCGUAAAGCUCUGUUGUUAGGGAAGAACAAGUACCGUUCGAAUAGGGCGGUACCUUGACGGUACCUAACCAGAAAGCCACGGCUAACUACGUGCCAGCAGCCGCGGUAAUACGUAGGUGGCAAGCGUUGUCCGGAAUUAUUGGGCGUAAAGGGCUCGCAGGCGGUUUCUUAAGUCUGAUGUGAAAGCCCCCGGCUCAACCGGGGAGGGUCAUUGGAAACUGGGGAACUUGAGUGCAGAAGAGGAGAGUGGAAUUCCACGUGUAGCGGUGAAAUGCGUAGAGAUGUGGAGGAACACCAGUGGCGAAGGCGACUCUCUGGUCUGUAACUGACGCUGAGGAGCGAAAGCGUGGGGAGCGAACAGGAUUAGAUACCCUGGUAGUCCACGCCGUAAACGAUGAGUGCUAAGUGUUAGGGGGUUUCCGCCCCUUAGUGCUGCAGCUAACGCAUUAAGCACUCCGCCUGGGGAGUACGGUCGCAAGACUGAAACUCAAAGGAAUUGACGGGGGCCCGCACAAGCGGUGGAGCAUGUGGUUUAAUUCGAAGCAACGCGAAGAACCUUACCAGGUCUUGACAUCCUCUGACAAUCCUAGAGAUAGGACGUCCCCUUCGGGGGCAGAGUGACAGGUGGUGCAUGGUUGUCGUCAGCUCGUGUCGUGAGAUGUUGGGUUAAGUCCCGCAACGAGCGCAACCCUUGAUCUUAGUUGCCAGCAUUCAGUUGGGCACUCUAAGGUGACUGCCGGUGACAAACCGGAGGAAGGUGGGGAUGACGUCAAAUCAUCAUGCCCCUUAUGACCUGGGCUACACACGUGCUACAAUGGACAGAACAAAGGGCAGCGAAACCGCGAGGUUAAGCCAAUCCCACAAAUCUGUUCUCAGUUCGGAUCGCAGUCUGCAACUCGACUGCGUGAAGCUGGAAUCGCUAGUAAUCGCGGAUCA
rnacentral:rRNA from 1 species